CUCUGAAAAACAAAAAAACACUCAAGACAGUCCAAGACAGCACUGCAUUCAUUCUACCACAAUCCACUAAGGACCACACACUAAAGAACAUCUGCAACAGCUCCUUGAACUAACUCACUGUAGUUGUACAAUGAAUUCAGUUUAGAGCUACUAGGACACAAGUCAGAGUUUCCUAUUAGGAACAAAUUGAGAGAUGAAAGGAAAGACACAUGAUUUCUUUCAGGGCUCCAAC
rnacentral:lncRNA from 1 species